UACAGGGGGUGCAAACGUUGCUCGGAAUCAUUGGGCGUAAAGCGCGCGCAGGCGGUUUCUUAAGUCUGAUGUGAAAGCCCACGGCUCAACCGUGGAGGGUCAUUGGAAACUGGGGAACUUGAGUGCAGAAGAGAAGAGCGGAAUUCCACGUGUAGCGGUGAAAUGCGUAGAGAUGUGGAGGAACACCAGUGGCGAAGGCGGCUCUUUGGUCUGUAACUGACGCUGAGGCGCGAAAGCGUGGGGAGCAAACAGG
rnacentral:rRNA from 1 species